GAUGAAGAACGUAGUGAAAUGCGAUAAGUAAUGUGAAUUGCAGAAUUCAGUGAAUCAUCGAAUCUUUGAACGCACAUUGCGCCCGCCAGUAUUCUGGCGGGCAUGCCUGUUCGAGCGUCAUUUCAACCAUCAAGCCCCCGGCUUGUGUUGGGGACCCUGCGGCUGCCCGCAGGCCCUGAAAACCAGUGGCGGGCUCGCUGUCACUCCGAGCGUAGUAGCAUAUAUCUCGCUCAGGGCGUGCUGCGGGUUCCGGCCGUUAAAAGCCUUUUUUUUACCCAAGGUUGACCUCGGAUCAGGUAGGAAGACCCGCUGAACUUAAGCAUAUCAAUAAGCGGAGGA
rnacentral:misc_RNA from 1 species